rnacentral:rRNA from 1 species
UCUACCUUAUACAAAGGAAUAACUCAGAGAAAUCUGUGCUAAACCUUAUAAGCUUACACUAGCAGAUGCUAGAGUAAGAAAAACUUUAGUGGUAUAAGAUGAGCCUGCGUCCGAUUAGCUAGUUGGUGGGAUAACAGCUCACCAAGGCGACGAUCGGUAACCGGCCUGAGAGGGUGACCGGUCACACUGGGACUGAGACACGGCCCAGACUCCUACGGGAGGCAGCAGUGGGGAAUAUUGCACAAUGGAGGGAACUCUGAUGCAGCAACACCGCGUGAAGGAUGAAGGUUUUCGGAUCGUAAACUUCUAUCAGUAGGGAUGAAAACAAUGACAGUACCUAACUAAGAAGCCCCGGCUAACUACGUGCCAGCAGCCGCGGUAAUACGUAGGUGGCAAGCGUUGUCCGGAAUUAUUGGGCGUAAAGCGCGCGCAGGCGGUCCUUUAAGUCUGAUGUGAAAGCCCACGGCUCAACCGUGGAGGGUCAUUGGAAACUGGGGGACUUGAGUACAGAAGAGGAAAGUGGAAUUCCAUGUGUAGCGGUGAAAUGCGUAGAGAUGUGGAGGAACACCAGUGGCGAAGGCGACUUUCUG